GAUGAAGAACGUAGCGAAAUGCGAUAAGUAAUGUGAAUUGCAGAAUUCAGUGAAUCAUCGAAUCUUUGAACGCACAUUGCGCCCGCCAGUAUUCUGGCGGGCAUGCCUGUUCGAGCGUCAUUUCAACCAUCAAGCCCCCGGCUUGUGUUGGGGACCUGCGGCUGCCGCAGGCCCUGAAAACCAGUGGCGGGCUCGCUGUCACACCGAGCGUAGUAGAUUUUCAUCUCGCUCAGGGCGUGCUGCGGGUUCCGGCCGUAAAAAGCCUUAUUUAACCAAGGUUGACCUCGGAUCAGGUAGGAAGACCCGCUGAACUUAAGCAUAUCAAUAAGCGGAGGA
rnacentral:misc_RNA from 1 species